CGUCUAUCGAUUGCUUAACAUAACAUUUCGCCCAUCGCUCGGCUGAAAGACAGCCAUGGCAAAGUGGAUAACGUUGUGUUUUCUCGUAGUCUGCGUGGCAGUUAUCAUCUUAACCCUUGUUGACAAUGCCGAUGCAGCCAGAGGGGGACGAUUUAGUUCACGAAGCGCCCGAUAUGGAACUAGAGUGAGAGUGAGGAACAGGAUCAGUUCAGCUAGGUAUGGUCGCACAAGGUAUGGUGGAACGAGGUACAGUGGAACGAGGUACGGUGGCACCAGGUUCAGUGGCACCAGGUACGGAAGUAGCAGGGUCCGCAUUCGUCAGCGAGUCCGCUACCGAGGCAGCUCAAGGAUGUACAAGGGCAGCUAUGGUCUGACCAGAUCUACAUGGAAGAAUGCCUUCCUGCUGGGAACUAUCUACCACGGCCCGUGGUACCUCCGCUCCCGACGCUAUCACUCUCACCCAAACAACAUGCCGACCAUAUGUCGCAAUAACUACGAGACUGAUGACAACAACACUGUGUACAACCUCUUCUUCUGCCCUCGCUUCUUCGAACCUGACGACUUCCAGUACUGCUGUGGCCCUGAACUUCGUGAAUACUGCUGCAAGUAUUUCGACAGCGCCGGUCGGACUGCAGGAAUCGUGAUCGGCGUGCUGGUGGUGGUGGUCAUCGUUGGGAUCAUCGUGUAUUGCGUAUGUAAGAAGAGGUCGAACCAAGGUGGCAAAGUUUUAAGCCCUUUCUCCAAAUCAGAACCAGCAUAUGCCAUCACCAAUCAGUAUUCCCCUGCACCUACCAUGACGUACGCCGCACCAGUGCAGCCUCCCCCCGCAGAGGCAGGCCCGCCGCCAGGAUACCCUGAUGCAGGUCAAAUGGCCCCCCAGCCCGGAUACCCCCCUCAGCCCGGAUAUCCCCCUCAACCUGGCUACAUACCCCCGCCGGGGCAGCCAGGUGCUCCAGACCAGACGGGGUACUACCCCCCACCUCAAGAAGGAAAGCCUAACCUACCCCCCGGGGAAGUGAGCCAGGGAGGCAUGCCCUACCCUCCACCCCAGGGGGGCAUGUAUCCACCCCCCGCAGGUUACGGAGGAGCCCCACCCGGGUAUGAAGCUGUUUCUACUGGAUACCCACCUCAGCCUCAACCGGGAGUUUACCCCCCACCCACAGGCCCAGGAGGGUACCCCCCACCUAACGCCCCAGGAGGGUACCCCCCACCUAACGUCCCAGGAGCCUACCCCCCACCCCAGCCCUCCGGCUACUGAUGAGGCAGACCCACACAGCUACAGGAGAUGUUGGGAGGAGCUGGCCUUUAUGUAUAUGUUGAAGUUUGGUGAUUAAUUGACUUGAGUCUGGUCAGUUACAUAGGUCCUUCAGGUUUACUGUUAUAAUACUGAUGCUGAUGUGUUUAUUGUCAUCACCUCAUUACUGCCGGUCACAGGUGCUGGGCCCACUUGCACAAAGCGAUCUUAGUGCUAAGACUAUCAUAAGCCUAUGUUAAAGUAUGGGAGUUACGAUCAUCUUAGCGCUAAGAUCGCUUUGUGCAAGUGGGUGCUGGUCUCCGAGGGGAACCGAGUGUCAAUCAGGGGGAAGGAUCGGAACGAUAAUAUAUUCUGAUAAUAUUUAUGAUAUUGUGUAGGUCUGUAUGACUGGCUUUUCUUGAGAGUCAUUCAGGGAGGGUGGUAAUAAAUAUCACACGCAGCCGAGAAUUUGGCCCUCAUGAAUCACUGUUACUACCAGUAGUACCUCUCAAAGCCCCAGAACUUACAGAAGGAAUUCACUGGUGACCGUUAAUCGGUUGUUUUGUUUACUUGUUGUAUAUUACCUUAUUUCAGGCCUUCUUGGUCAUCGUCCUCGGUGGUUCACUUUUGGAUGCAAAUUCUACAGCCUCCCCUACCCUCUGAACUAAGCACUCUACUGACUCCACGGAAACAAUGCUGUGUUCCAGUCACAUCCUACCUCAAGUGUAAUUCAUUGACCUCUUUUCAAAACUGAAAUCUUUCUUCUGGAUGUUUUACAAAACCAUGAAAGAAAUAAAAGAUUCCUAAUCCUGGUGUAAUAAAUCUAAAGCCUUUGAUCCAGAACACCUGUAUUGAUCUGUAAUUUUGAUGGCUGUUGGAAAAUAUUUGGUUAUCAAAAAGGGAAAUAUUUUUUUCAACAGCUUUGACAAAAUCUUAAUUUGUUCAAGAAGUGAACCACGUCUUGACAUGAUAGAAGAAAUAGGUCAGCUGAUCCAGAAUGAGCUGUGUUCAUGUUUGAUCAUGAUUCAUGAUUGUUCCGUAAGGUUAUUUUUGACAGACCUUUUGAAAAAUAAGCAAUCAGAAGUGCCAUUGCUCAACAGAAAACAAUCAAUUUUGUAAUGACCAUAAAAACAAAUAUCUGAUUUUCAGUGUAUAUUUUUGGUUACAGACAAGAUUUUGUACCUGUUUGUUAACUAGAAGUGCCAUGCAUUGUCAACACUUCUUAACACUUGCUACUAAUGUCCGGAUGUCGUAACUUCGUGCCCCCACACACUCACUCAUGCACUUGCUCACUCACGUGUGGGAAAUUGUUAAAAAAAUUAAAAGAAUUGUUUUUGUUUGUUGGGCAGGCAGACAGGGUAAUUAGAGAGGUAGGUCAUAGUCUGUUUGGUGGAUUCUUUACAAGGUUCGUUUCCAGUUGGCUCAAAAUCCCCAAUUUGAGCUCAAAUUAGGUCACUUGUGACGCAGGUGUUAAUUGGCUGACCAAUGGGGGAUUAAUGUAGAGUCUGUUCCAUCUCCUGGACCUAACAGAUACAGAUGGUUCUCACUCACGAUAUUGGCACUAACAACACAUCAUGAUUGGUAAUCAAAACUUUCAGACUUUCGAACUUUCAAAAUUCAACUUUGAAAUGGUAACUUCAGCUUUUAAGCUUUCAAGCUAACAAGCAUUCACCAGACAGGAACAGACUAUAAUCCACCAGCCCUAAUCCCCCCCCAAAUUUCAGUUUUGAGUCAACUGGGAGACCCCCUUUACAAGAAUAUUUAGUGAUGGUUGAAAUGUGAAGUAUAGUCAUCAACGUUUAAGCUCUAACUUUGCCUUGUUCCUACAUGUAGUAACCGUUAUGCAAAUUGUUGGAAGGAGCUUAAUGUAGAAAUUCUAUAAGCUUAUUGUAGAUGGUUUCAGAAUGUUGCCUUUAAGCAGAAUAGUCUGCAAUGAAUGUGUACAUGAACUUGGUGACAUGGUGUCAAGGUGCCCAGGUUUCCCUAUGGCUGUACAUGAUGACUGCCAACUUCCCUCAGUGUAACAGGGACUUCUGAAUGCUUCAUGUCCAGGAACAACAUGGGGGAGGAAAUCUUUAUGUUGCCGUACUGAAACCUGGUGUCUCUCAAUAUUGUGGAGGGGCUUUUUGGUCUAGUGUGCUUAUAGUAUUUGAGAUCAUGUUGAGUGAAGGGUUUGAUUGCUGCCUGAGAAUAUUGUUAAAUAGAUAUCUUGAAGGAGUUUGUAACAGAAGCCAUAACUCGUUUCUUUGAAUGCAUCCCCGGUAUGUUUUAGUCUUGUUUUUAUACACAGUACCUCCGACAGCUUUAUUGUCCACGAUAAAUGCAGGUUUUUGUUACCCGUGUAAUUGGCUAGACUGCAGUUGGCUGAUGCUCGAUAAAUGCAGGUUUUUGUUACCCGUGUAAUUGGCUAGACUGCAGUUGGCUGAUGCUCGAUAAAUGCAGGUUUUUGUUACCCGUGUAAUUGGCUAGACUGCAGUUGGCUGAUGCUCGAUAAAUGCAGGUUUUUGUUACCCGUGUAAUUGGCUAGACUGCAGUUGGCUGAUGCUCGAUAAAUGCAGGUUUUUGUUACCCGUGUAAUUGGCUAGACUGCAGUUGGCUGAUGCUCGAUAAAUGCAGGUUUUUGUUACCCGUGUAAUUGGCUAGACUGCAGUCGGCUGAUGCUCGAUAAAUGCAGGUUUUUGUUACCCGUGUAAUUGGCUAGACUGCAGUUGGCUGAUGCUCGAUAAAUGCAGGUUUUUGUUACCUGUGUAAUUGGCUAGACUGCAGUCGGCUGAUGCUCGAUAAAUGCAGGUUUUUGUUACCCGUGUAAUUGGCUAGACUGCAGUCGGCUGAUGCUCUGCAGUCAGCAGCAGGAAGUAUCAAUCAAUUCAUUGUAUCCCUAUUGGUUUUUAAACUGAAAAUAUUGAAGUUAAGUUUCCCAAGGGGUGUCCCCGUAUAUUGUGAUGCUAUUGUUAGGACAGAUCGUUUAGAUUCAGGUGUUCGGUGCAGUUUUGUCACCAGGACCAUGACGUUUUGUCUUACGUAUUUACAUCAGUUUGAUAUUAGUUGUUCAUCUUUUUUACAGCCUAUUUAUGCUGAUUGUAUAUAUAAUGUUUAUUUCUUCACAUAUUUUCAUUAUACAUCAGCAAUUUUGUAAAAUGUUACAUUGCUAUAUUGCAUGUCGUGACUUUCUUUAAAUGUAAAAACUUAUGUCAAUUUCAAUCUUAAUAUUUUUUAUUUCAUACUACCUGGAUGAUAAAGUUCAUCAACUACGUCCAAUGUACACAAGACUGUUUUACAAUUGAUGUUUCUUACAGACAUAAAAAACAUUACAUAAAAAACUAUUUCCGUCUAUUUGAGACAUUUUUUGUCACCCGGAAGAAGGGUGUACUGAACAGUCUGACCUACUUAAAACUGUUACGUGUAUCUAUAUGUGACUUGGAGUGUUUGUUUUUGUUGUUUGACGCCACACUCAGCAAUAUUCCAGCUUUAUGACAGCGGUCUGUAAAUAUCGAGUCUGGACCAAACAAUCCAGUGAUUGACAUGAGCAUCGAUCUAGGCGAUUGGGAUACAAUGACAUGCAUCAACUAAGUCAGCGAACCUGACCACGCGAUCCGGUUAGCAACUCUUAUGACAAGCAUUGGUUGCUGAAGUCCAGUUCUAACCCAGAUCUUCACUGGGAGUGGAUUUGCCCCAGUAUUUUGAUAUUCCUUCAUGUAGCACAUUCUAAAGAACCCUCCAGGUACAUGGUCCAAGGGAGGUAACUCUAAGUCCUCUAUGCAGUGAUGUGCUAGUCAGCGUAAGGAGUUAAACAAGGGUGGCUGAGGUUUGUUAUGUUUGUGAAUGUACUCCAUCAACAGGAGAUUAACGUCAAUCAGUGUCGUCAAGAUGUGUCGACAUCUGUACUCCGCAACAUCAAACUAUAGUCAGUUUAUGGCAGCCAACUGUGCAAGUACACUGUUUGGAGUUUCAACCAAUGCAAAAUGUUGAUUGGUUAGUCUAACAUAUUUAUAAUUGUUAUCACAUUCUUUUUUAUUUCUAACUUGAUGUACAAAUAUAUUCUCAGAAAACCAUACAUGUCAGUUAAAAUUUUAAUAUAAUUGCAAAACAAUAAUUAGAUAUCAUCUUCCAGUAAUUUUAUAUAGGUGAAAUUACUAAAAGUAAAAGACACCGGCAGCUUGGAGUGUUUCUCUGAAUGACACAACCGAUAUUGGUCUGUUAAGAUGUUUGAGAGGAUUGCACACCACGUAACCUGCGAACAAGCCCUCCUGCACCGUGGGUCAUCCAGACUGCUUUCUCCGUUCCAACAUCAUCAGCUCUUAGUCCAAAUAACCAGUGUGUUUCCUCGUCCAAACCUAUGUGAUGUGAUGUAUUUUUCUAUUUCGUUCAUUGAAGAAACAUUUUGCCUGUGUUCAUGUUUCUAUAUGAAGAGUUUUAAGCAUCCAUUUUUGUAUUUUGCUCUAAAUUGACGAAUGCUGAGGGUAUGAGACUCCUAUCCUCCAUUUUGGAUAGAAUUCCCUUUAACAUUUGAACAGUUCUAUGAAAUGAAUAUGUUGAAGUUACAGAUAUGUCAAAUUGAUGUUGAAAUUAAACUUUGAAAAAUGUUUGUAAUAUAAUUUUGAAUGGACUUGUUAGUUUUGAUGGAUAAGUUUUAUAACAUAAUUUCAGUGACCAGAAAAAAGUGUCAGUUUUCAUUUUUUGAUGUUGUGCUUUGAAGUUUUGCCUUGCUAUCCAUAUUGGAUCAACUAUGAUGAAUAGAAAUUAUUCGGCUUUUAUGAUUGAUGUAAGGCUUGUUUGAUUCUCUACUGUGAUUGGCCAUAUAUUCUGUCUUGUAUAUUUUAGUAUCUGAAUAAAUUUUUUAAACUUA
rnacentral:misc_RNA from 1 species